GGGCUGGGUCCUAACCAACUCUGGACUUGCUCAGGUUUCUCAUGCUCCAACCCCUAACCCUCUCUGCAAACACAUGCACCAUUUCACAUCAUCCAUCAAAACUCUUCGCAUGGCCCAGCCUCCACUGCCAGCUGUAUAAUUUUAGUGCUUUAGAUAACCUUAGAGGUUAUCUACUGAGUCUGUCCGCACUUCCGGCAGAUUGGAACACUGAGGCCCAGAGGAGCUGAGUGAAUUGUCCCUGUACACAUAACCCCUUGUGGCAGGGGCAGGCCAAGGACAACCCUCUCUGAAUAGUGUGGUCAGUGUUUUUAACACCGAAGCUCUCAAAAGAACUAAUGUUUACUGAGUACCUAGAAUGAGGGUGACCAUAUGUCCUAGAUCACCGAAGCCAGUCCCAGGCUACAUCUGCCCCCUUUCACACUCAGCUGUCCCAAUUUAGACUAUACAUCACGUAUGGUCCCUGUACAUAUGUCUAUUGUGUUAUGUGUUGAGUGAGAUGGAGUCAAGGAUGAUACUGACCCCUUCUUCUGAGGACUUAGGACCAACAAGAGACAUGUCUACAACAUCCGGCCCAUUCUUCGGCGAUAAAAUUGAAGCGUCAUGAAAUUUGAGAAUUCCCACAGAGAUGUGAUCCUGGGAUUGUGCAUCACCAGGUCCUGACCUCCGAACUGCUGUACUGAUAAACCCACCUGAUACAGCUGUGGGCUAAGAGAAGGGGCGAGAAGCAAAAGCACAUUUCCUGAGCAUCUGUUGCAAAACUUCCUCGGAGAUGACUACCUCCACUUCCUCACCUCCUGCUCCUGUGAGCCCAGUGGUUCAAGCGUUUGGACUCUAGACUCCAAGUGCCUAGUGGGAGCCGCCUCCGUUACCUUCAGCAAGGCUGAGUACCCCCAUUGUGCCUUAUUUUCUUACCGUGCAAAGGAAAUCAUAGUGUUUAUCUGUCCUGUAACAUUGUUGUAGAGAUUAAUUAGGGGCGUUCCUGGUACUUGAAAUGCACUGGAUGAGUACAAGUUACUACGACGAGGGUGGGAGGGAGGGAGCUCUUUGGCUUCUGUCUUCUUCUCCUUAGAAGUACCAUUGGCUCUAACCUUCCUGGUCUCUCUUCCCGCCUGCCGCAUCUUCUAGGUGAUUUUGCAAGGAGAAACGCACGUGCAUGGCAUAGCCCUUCUUUUCUAGGGCUCUUCUGUACCAGGAGCCUCACAGGUCCUGCCUGCCAGUGACUGGGUAGGGAAGUCCAGCACUGUGUGUCAUCUCAGAAAGCCCUUCAUUAGGACUAUAAUACUGUAUUAUAGACUGAAAAUUUGCUGAGAGUAGAUUUUAGGCGGUUUCACAACAAAAAAGGGGGGAGGUAACUGCAAAACGAUAGGCCAAUUUGAUACCUAUUUCAUUAUGUGCAUCAAAAUACCAUGUUGUAUACCUCCUAUACAAUUUAAAAAAUUUAAAAAGCCCACUCACCCAAAAA